rnacentral:lncRNA from 1 species
UGCUUGAAAAAGUCACCAACCUUUUGACGUGAAGGUACAUAUUUGUGAUACCUACCUCAAGUUACUCAGUUGGUCACCUGUCCAAGUGGCUACUAGCUUUGUUCAUAGUCUUUCAACCAUUGGAACAAUUUUCAAUUUGUGCUCAUGAAGUCUAGGCCUUUGCUGAAUUUCUUUAAUCAAUGCAUUGGGCAAAUCAACACCAAUUGCUAAAACAAGUCAUGUUAAGUUCAUUCACAUAACUUUCAAUUCAUUCUCUCUAAUGAGUUUCAUCAAUAUAUUUUUCACCAUGGCAAGCUCAAAGAUUCAAUUCAAAAGGUAAUUCCCAAACAUGAAUAUAACUCACUGCAAUUGAUUCAACAUAAGUUUAAAGAGUCAUCACAUCAAUGGGGUCAUGGAAAGAAAGUUCAUCCAACAUAGUCUAUCAGUUUGAGUAGAGCAAUCAAAAAGAAGAAGACUGUGGUUGUGUGUGUUAUUGAAAGCAAAAACGAAAAAAAAAGAAUUUUAAAAAAAUCAAACUGUGGCUAGCUAUUCUCACGAAGAACUGAAAGAAGACUGAAAGGAAAAUCGCAAACUGAAAGAAAAAAGAAGAAGAAAAAAUCGCAGAAACUGAAAGGAGAAAGAAGAAGAAAAAUUUCAAAAAACUGAAAGGAAAAUUCAGAGAUAUAAACUGAAAGGAGAAAGAAGAAGAAAAAUCGCAAAAAACUGAAAGGAAAAUUCAGAGAUAUGCACCCCCACACCUAAUUCAUGCAUUGUCCUCAAUGUAUAAGAAAAAUAAAAGAUAAAAGGAAAUUGAGUACUCCCCUGGGUGGUGUGCAUGGUGCGAUCCACUUAUUCAGAAUGAGUGACGAACAGAUGUUCGUCUGGGAAGUCUUUCUUGACUGGACAUGGCGCAGAGCUAGAGGAAAGCCGGCUCAAGUGAUCAGCCACUAGAUUCUCCUUUCCUUUCUUGUCCCUUAUUUCCAGAUCGAAUUCUUGUAACAAUAGAAUCCACCGAAUGAGUCUCGGUUUGGCCUCCUUUUUCUUGAUCAGAUAUCGCAAGGCUACAUGGUCAGAAUAGAUGAUGACUUUAGUCCCCAGGAGGUAUGGUCUGAACUUCUCUAAGGUAAAUACAACAGCUAAGAGCUCUUUUUCUGUUGUUGAGUAGUUGCUUUGGGCAGCAUCCAAUGUGUGAGAUGCAUAGUGAAUCACGUGGGGUGAGUUUCCCACACGUUGCCCCAAGACUGCCCCCAUUGCAUAGUUGCUUGCAUCACACAUGAUUUCAAAGGGCAAGUUCCAAUCAGGUGCCUAAAUGAUUGGGGUAGUCACAAGCAAUUCCUUUAUCAGAUCAAAUGUUGUUUUGAAACCUGCAUCAAAAUCAAAUGUUACAUCUUGUUGGAGCAAUUUACACAAUGGCUGUGUGAUUUUGGAGAAAUCUUUUAUGAAUCUCCUAAAGAAUCCUGCAUGACCAAGGAAAGAGCGGAUUUCUUUAACGUUUGUAGGAUAAGGUAGAUUUUUUAUUGUGUCUACCUUGGCUUUGUCCACUUCAAUCCCUUUAGUUGAAACUAUAUGCCCUAAAACCGUACCUUGAUUAACCAUGAAGUGGCAUUUCUCAUAAUUAAGCACAAGUUUUGAUUCAAUGCAUCUCUGUAGGAUCUUCUCCAAGUUGGCAAGGCACUCUCCAAAGGAGUUACCAUGCAUUAUGAAAUCAUCCAUGAACACUUCAAUGGUGUUUCCCACAUAAUCUGAGAAUAUGCUCAUUAUGCAACGUUGGAAGGAAGCAGGUGCAUUGCAUAGUCCAAAUGGCAUUCUUUUGAAUGCAAAAGUGCCAAAAGAACAAGUGAAUGUGGUCUUUUCUUGGUCUUCUGGAGCUACUGCAAUUUGAUAAAAACUUGAAAAACCAUCAAGACAACAAUAGUGGGACUUACCUGCGAGCCUUUCCAGCAUCUGAUCAAUGAAAGGUAGUGGGAAGUGGUCUUUCCUUAUGGUUGCAUUCAACUUCCUAUAGUCCAUGCAUACUCUCCACCCAUUAUGAACUCUAGUGGGAACAAGUUCUCCUUCAGCAUUUGGAACAAUGGUGAUCCCAGUCUUUUUGGGAACUACAUGCACAAGACUUACCCAUUUGCUAUCAGAGAUUGGGUAGAUGAUACCUGCGUCCAGAAGCUUGACUAUCUCCUUUUUCACUACCUCCAUCAUAGGUGGACUUAGCCUUCUUUGAGCAUCUCUGACUGGCUUGCAUUCUUCCUCCAUGUGUAUUUUAUGCAUGCAUGUGGCAGGGGAGAUACAUUUUAUGUCAUCUAUGGUCCAUCCUAUGGCUCCUUUGUGCUUCUUUAGUACUCUCAGGAGGCUUUCUUCUUCAUUCUGGCUCAAUUGAUUGGACACUAUCACUGGAUGUGUCUUUUCAGCUCCCAAGUACAUGUAUUUCAAAUGGCCUGAAAUUUUCUUACCUGUAUUCUGCGGACUGGGUGAGCAAGGGGGUAUCUGCGAUUUCUGUCUGGCUGAACUGGACUCAGCUUGCUCUUCUUGGGCUUGUCCUUUCUGCGUUGGAUGAAGUGCAGAGCUGAAGAGGUGCGAUCCGGAUGGCAGAGGUGUGAUGGGGCUCCCUUCAUUCUGCGCAAUGCCCUUUCCCUUUGCUUCAUGCGUUGGUUUGCAGCUCAUCUGCUGGAUGCUGCAGACAGUCUCUUUCAGUACCGGCUCUUUCUGGCUCUCUUCUUUUUCCUGGUCAUUCUCCCUACAAAGAUCAUUAGUUAGUGUAUCAUCUUGAUUCUCAUCAAAGGUGUCCUGACUCAAACAAUCAAUAAUAUCAAGACCAUAAACAGAGGACAUAUCAUGGGGAUAUUUCAUGGCAUCAUAAACAUUGUAUUUAAUCACUUCCCCUUCAAAUUCCAUGGUGAGAGCGCCAUCAUGCACAUCUAUUUUAGUCCUGGCAGUGCUUAAGAAAGGACGUCCAAGUAGGAUGUCUGAAGAAGUGCUACAAUUGUCUUCCUUUGUGUCAAUCACAUAAAAGUCUGCUGGAAAAACAAGUUCAUCUACUUGCACUAGAACAUCUUCUAGAACUCCUUUUGUAUACACUACAGAUCUGUCAGCUAGUUGAAUAACAACUCUUGUGUCUUUCAGUGCACCUGCAUUUAAAGAAUUAUAGAUAGCAAGAGGCAUAACAUUAAUGGAUGCACCAAGAUCACACAUAGCUUUCUUAAUCCCAACAUUUCCAAUUUUGUAAGAAAUAGCAAACAUUCCUUUAUCUUUACAUUUGGUUGGGAGUUCUCUUUUUAUCACAGCAGUAACAAUCUCACCUACACUUACUUUCUCUCUCUCAUCAAGCUUUCUUCUGUUGGUACACAGUUCUUUCAGAAAUUUUGCGUACCUAGGAAUCUGUUUAAUAGCAUCUAGCAGAGGCAUGUUGAUUUUCACUUUCUUGAAGGUCUCAAGGAUCUCCUUUUCUUCUUUUUCUUUUUGUGUUCUUUCAAAUCUUUUUGGAAAAGGAGGUGGAAUUUGGAAACUUACCUGUUGAUCAGCCUUCUGCGUGUGUUCAGGAGUGGUGCGCCCAAUCGGCUUGGAGAGGUGGUGCGCAGGUUGCUCAGCUGAAACACCUGGUUCUUGCGCCUUUUGCUUCUCUUCCUCAGAUCUGGCAUCUUGAAGCUCUUUUUCACUUUUCAAUGUGAUAGCACUCACAUUCUGUCUAGGAUUAGUUUCAGUUUGGAAAGGUAGCUUACCUUGGGAUUCAGACUUGCUCAUAGAUAUGGCCAUUUGUCCCACCUGUUGUUGGAGAGUCUGCACAGAGUUUGCCAGUGUUUCCAUCAUCUUUUCAAGGUGCUGGAUGGAACUUGGAGGUGCUGGUUGGGCUUGAUUUGUUUGAUAGUUCUGAUUGUUGUUAGCCCUUCCAUAGCUGAAAUUGGGGUGGUCUUUCCAACCUGAAUUGUAGGUGUUAGAAUAUGGAUCAUGUCUUACCUGACUGUUGUAUCCUCCAAUGGCAUUGACUUGCUGGCUAUCUUCUUGAAGAGUAGGACAUUGAUCAGUUGCGUGUCCUACAUAUGCACAAAUCCCACAUGGCCUAGGUGGUUGGGAUGCUUGAGCUUGUUGAGCAUAUCCUAUGGCAAAAUUUUUCAUAAUAGAGGUCAGUUCGGAAAGCUGAGAAGCAAUAGCGGGUGUACUUAUCUCAUUGACUCCUUUCUGCAGUUACUUUUCUUCUCCAUAUUGCCUGGAUGAGGCUGCAAGGGUGGAGAUCAACUCUCUCAUCUCCCUAGGUGUUUUGUCUGCAAUGGAACCUCCACAAGCUACAUCAAUGAAUCUUCUUUCUGAUGAUAGCAAUCCUCCAUAGAAGAAUUCUAUGAGUGCCUUAUUUGAAAUAUCAUGUUGAGGACAACCUGUACACAACCUUUUAAACCUUUCCCAAUAGUCAUACAAAUCCUCAGAUGGUUUCUGUCUAAUGCUACUGAUUUCUCUUCUUAUGCCAAUGGCUUUAGAAGUUGGGAAAUAUUUAUUCAAAAAGGUUAUUACCAUAUCAUCCCAAGAAGUAAUAGAUCCAGAUGGCAAAUAAAAUAACCAGUCUUUAGCAUAAUCAUCAAGUGAAAAAGGAAAAGCUCUCAACUUAACAUGAUCUUCAGAAAUACCUUGAGGUCUCAUAGAUGAACAGACAAUGUUGAACUCUUUCAAGUGCUUGUGUGGAUUUUCAUUUUCUAAACCUCUAAACUUAAGAAGGAGAUGGAUCAAACUUGUUUUCAGUUUAAAGGGAACUGUCAGAGGCGGAUAGGUGAUGCAAAGAAGUGUUUGAUCACCUAUAGGUGCAGCCAAUUCUCUCAUGGUUCUUUCUCUUGGCAGUGGGGCUCUCAUGGCUGGAUUUUGUUGUAUUAUUUCCUCACGGACAGCAUGUUCAUUGUGGACAGCAGGUUGUGCCACGUUUUCAGCCAUCUCUGGAGUUGGAUUGUAAUACCCGGCUAGACCCCGGCAUCGGAAUUCCUACCUUCCGGCGGAAUCUCCAUUGGAAUUCGAAAUUCUCGGAUGUCAGAGCCUUCUAGAAGGGUAAAAUAAAGGUUUUUUAAAAAUUUUUUAUAUGUUUUUAUGGUUUUAUUAAAGAAAGAAAUUGAGUUUUGAAAAAGAAAAGAGCUUAGAGGCAAACCCAGGUUCGGCUGCCAAACCUCAUGUUCGGCCGCCGAACAUGGGGCGGAUGCGGAGGCACUUUUGGCCCCCGAAGGUGGUAUGACCAGCCACCUAUAAAGGGCCCCCUGUCCGAAAAUGGGCGAGUUUUCUCUCUCCAUUUCCGGGCAAGGUGAGUCUCCGCCACUCCUUGUCGAUCUUGUGCUUUUCCUUCAAGUCUCUCAUGAUUUUUAUAAGUUUUUAUCUUUUUUUUGAAGAUUUUUGAGUUAAGAUCAAAGUUUUGAAGCUUGGAGACUCCCGGAGCUCGUUCCUCCAUAUCUCCAAUGUGACGACCCGAAAAUCGGACCGCUACCGGCGCUAAGAUCCAGAUCGGCUUAAGGCCGCCGGGACCCGUAGCAAGCCUGACAUACAACCUGUAAACCUGUUUAAUCCCAUACAUGAUCAACAACAUACAUAAAAAUUUGAACUUUUCUUUACAUUCAUUCAUUCAUUCACCAAACUCAACCUGUGCAUGCACUAAACAUAACCUGAUCAUAAACAUUAACUCCUCUUUGGAGUCCCAACAGUGCCCCAAUGGGGUGACAUCACAUAUAUUGAGUUUGGUUACAUAAGCAUCAUUAAAACAUAGAUCAUGUUUACAAAAGGGAUUACUAUAUAACUCGGUCAAGCACAAUCUCUAAACCUCAAUCUCUGAAUCAACAUAUACAUGACAUAACUAUUCAUAACUUUUACAUCAUUAUACAAUUUAUCAUGUCCACAUUCUAACUAUUACAAACACAAGACUUCAUUCAUCUUGACUUCUCUGUCUAGCCCGUACCUGCAACCCUGGGGGAUUAGGGAAAGGGGUGAGCUACUAGAGCCCAGUGAGCAGAAUAAUAAAAUAUUUAAAAUACAUACUAUCAUGGAAUGCAUCACAUCACAGGUAAAUCACAUCAAGGAUGGUAUUGUCACCAAUAGUCCUCUACAUUCCAAAGUGCCGGGACGUAGAAUGGGUCAACCGGUCUUUCUCUUAACAUAUCAUAACAUAACAUUUUCAAGGUGCCGGGACGUAGAAUGGGUCAACCGGUCUUUUUCUUACAUAGUGUCGGGACGUAGAAUGGGUCAACCGGACUUCCAUACCAUACCAUACCGUAUCAUAUCACAUCGCAUCAUAUCGAGGACUAAAGGAUCAUUCAAUAACCAAUCCGCAUCAACAUCAUAAAAUGCAAUGCAACAUAUUCGUGAAUUCUAAUGCAAACAACCUAAAUCAUCACAUGGCAUUUAUGAUGCAUGAACAUGCUCAAAACUUUAUAAUUUAUUCGCUUUAAAACGUAAAGGUUUAUUCUACUCACCUCAGCUAGCUCUAACAAAGACUGAAGCAGCUGACUCACUGCUGGGGUCCUCGAUUCCUCGAGUCCGAACCUACACAGGUGGACUCAAAUGAGGCACCAACAUACUAGAACAUGACUCUAAAAACAUCCCCCAAAAACCCCCUAAAACACCUCAAAACAAUUAUGCAAAACAUGCAAAGGAAGGCUAAACAGGGCACUUUCAGCGGCAGGUUCGGCGGCCGAAAGUCCCUCCAGAGCCGAAAGUCAGGCAGGUUCGGCGGCACCUUCGGCGGCCGAAAGUGCCCUCCAUAGACGAAAGUUCAUUUUCGAGGGCAGGCUUCGGCAGCCGAAAGGCUUGCCUCCUAGGCAUGUUCGGCGGCCGAAAGUUCCUUCGGCUGCCGAACCUGGUUUCUCCCGAAAGGGCAGAAACUUGGCUCUUAUGCACAUUUGCCUCCCAAAACCUUCAAUCAUGCAUAUGACUCAACCAAAACAUGCAUAGAAACAUACAUCAGCUCCUAGGGGCUUCAAACUAUCCUAAACCCCAACUACAACACAUAGCAAACAACACAUCAACUCACAUUGCCCACAAGUUCACAUAAAACCUAACCAUGCUCAUCUAACCUAAACAUGCAUUUUUACCCCAUGAAUCAACUUAAAACUUAGUUAAAACAUAAAAAGAGUUCAAGAUCGGCCCUUACCUCUUGAAGAUCGAGAGGGGAGGCGACCUAAACUUGGAGAACGGAGGAAGAGGGCUCCUGAGUCUUCCAAGCUUCAAAACUUGCUUUAUGCUCAAAAAUCUUCAAAAAAAAGUUGUAAACUCAUAAAAAUCAUGAAGAAUGGAAGGAAGGAACUCAAAAUCGGCGAGGGACGGUGGAGAGCUCACCUUGGCCGAAAAUGGGGAGAAAAGCUCACCCGUUUCGGCUAAGGGACCCCUUUAUAGGUGGCUGGCCAGGCCACAUUCGGGGGCCGAACAUGCCUCCGCAUGCAUGCCAUGUUCGGCGGCCGAACAUGAGGUUCGGCGGCCGAACCUGGACUUCCCUCACUUAUGCUUUCGGGGGCCUAAAGCACUUCCGAAGUGCAUGCAUGUUCGGCCGCCGAACUUGAGGUUCGGCGGCCGAACCUGGGUCUUCCUCCAAGAUUAUUUUCAUGCAAAAACUCAUUUUCCUUCUAGUUCAAAAACAUAAAAUACAUUAAAAUAUUUUAUAAAAACAUGAUUUUACCCUUCUAGAGGUCUCCGACACCCGAGAUUCCACCGGACGGUAGGAAUUUCGAUACCGGAGUCUAGCCGGGUAUUACAUCCAAGUUUGGGAUCGCAUCUCCUCUCGAUCUUCAAGAGGUAAGUGUAGAUCCUCCUUUCUUUUAAGUUUUAAGUGAGUUUUAAGGGGUUUAAUGGGUGUUUAAUGCAUGUUUAGGCUAGUUGUAAAAUGUUAGGGUUUAUGAUAGUUUAAUGUUAAAUGUGAUGCUAAAUGUGAUGUUUGUUGGGGUAUAGGCUAGUUUUAAGCCCCUAUAUGCUUGAUGAUGUGUUUAUGCAUGCUUUUGAGUGUUGAGUAUGAGUUUGGAGGGUUUUGGGAGGCUAGAUGAGAGAGGCGAAUCGGGUUCUGCCAUUCUGGAGAACCCAGAUUUGGCCGCCGAAGCCAUGUUCGACCGCCGAACCUGCCUGUGGAGGCAGCUUUAGGCCGCCUAAACUCGCCCCUGAAAGUUGGACUUUCGGCUCUGGAGAGGAGUUUUGGCCGCCGAACCUGCCCCCGAAAGUGCCUGACUUUCGGAUCUGGAGGGACCUUCGGCCGCCGAACCUGCCACCAAAAGUCCCCUGCCCAGCCUUCCUUUGCCUGUUUUGCAUGCAUGUUUCAUGAUGUUUUAGAGGGUUUUUGGGGAGUUGUUUAGAGUCAUGUUAGAGUAUGUUUGGUCCUUCAUUCGAGUCCACCUGUGUAGGAUCGGACCUGAGGAACCGAGGUGAUCAGCAGUGAGAUAGCUGCUUCAGAGUUAGUUCAGAGUCAGUCAGAGGUGAGUGGAAUGAAACUAAUCUUUUAUUUCGAGAAAUCAAAUGUUUUAAGCAUGUUCAUGCAUCAUGAUAUAUAACAGGUUGUUUGCAUUAGAAUUCACGAAUAUGACGCAUUGCAUUAUUCAUUGUGGGUGUGGAUGGACAACAGGACGACCCAUUAGCCCUCUAGAUAUUAUGUUAUGUAAUAGAAGUCCUGAGGAGCCCCACCGAGGGCCGGGCACAGAGCUUAUAUAUGUAAUAGAAGUCCUGGGGAGCUCCACCGAGGGCCGGGCACAGAGUAAAGGGAUUUUUGGGUCAGUCCAUCCGUGAUGUGAAUUGUUUGAGUUGUAAUGCAUUCCAUGAAAGUAUAUGUUUAUUAAAUUGUUUUUACUGUUCUGCUCACUGGGCUUUUAUAGCUCACCCCUCUCCCCUAACCCCCAGGUUUGCAGGAGCACAGGUAGCUAUGGAAAAGUCAGCAAGGCUAUGUUUAUGUAAUAGAUUAGUAGUGGACAUGUAAUGUAAAUUGGUAUAAUGUAAGGUAAUGUAGAGAAAUGUUUCAUGGUUUAGUAUUGUGCUUGGCCCUAUCAGUAGUGAUAAUUCCUUUUGCACAGGAUCUAUAUGAAAUAUUUUAAUGAUGAGAAAUGUUGAACCAAACUUGAUGUAUGUUAUGUUGACCUACUAAAGCAUUUGAUGAGGGCUCUAGUAUGGGGUUUUAUGUAUAUUGUUAUGGUGCAUGCACAGGUCAAGCUAGGUAUAUGAAAAGUUUAGAGUUUUUGUGAAAAUGUAUGAUCAUGUAUGGGAUUUUAUCAAAUGUACAGGAUGUAUGUUAGGCUUGCUACGAGUUCCGGCGACCUUAAAUCGAUCUGAAUCCUAGCGCUGGUAGCGGUCCGGUUUCCGGGUCGUUACAUGGAUGGUUACGGUUCAGUGGUUUCAGAAGUGUGGUCUGCGCAGGGGUGCUCUUCAAAUGAAGAUUCGGGCGUGACUUGCUUGUUCAAUCUCCUGAUUGUGCGCUCAAUUUCCGGAUCGUAAGGCAGAGUUUCCCUACGUUCAGAUCUGGUCAUGAAAGAAAAAAAAAUAAGUUAAAUCAACUCCACGGCAACGGCGCCAAUUUUUGACUCGCGGUUGUCAAAGCUGGUUAAAAAUAACAUUUCUGGUUGUCAACAAUAUUACUACUGCAGAUAGUGAUAAAAGAUCGAAUCCACAGAGAAUUCAAAACUUACCUAUCUUUCUUAUCAAAACUAAGACAAUUGACUGAAAGCAAAUAACUGAAAGAGAAGUAAACUGAAACGAGAUAAACUGAAAGCAAAUAAACUGAAAGUAAAAUAGGGGGGGAGUUUGAGAUUGAUUUAAUUGAUCUAAUUCUGAAAGCAGUAAAAGUAAAGCAAAUAAUAAAAAUAAAGGGAAUUCAAUAAUGAAAAAGCUCUAGUUGAAGUGUUGGAUCCACUUCAGUUGUUGGGAUUGAUCAUUGAAACUUAUGUUCUUUUGAUUGAUUCAAUAGGUUAGUUAUGGAGAUGGAAAAGGCUUCUCACCAUCAUGGCUCUCCUUAAUCAUAAACCAAUUAGGGAACGUCCUCUAAUUAAUUACUAAUUAACAAGUUGCUAAGGAAUGUCCUUGGGCCUUAGGCAUCAAAACAACUGUCAAUUGCAUUAAGAGAUAGAGAAAGCCAAUCCUAGCUACUCAAACGCAUGAGAUGUUGCUAGAUCAUAUAAUUUCCUUAGUUUUUACACCAAGUGUUCUUAUGUUUGAACAAUCCAAGCAAUUACGGACUUAAAAUUAUCCAAACUAACAAUAUAUUACCUUGUAAUCAAGAAUCAAGUGGUCAAUUUGAUCAAAACAACAAAGCAAUAAUGGAAUCAAGCAUGAAAUUGUAUGAAUAUUGAAUAAACCAAAGACAAACAACUUAUGUUCAGAUCUCACAAUCCAUAAAACAACUUAAGUUUCAAUCAAUUUUCAACUAGAAUAAAAAGUUUCAGCCACUCAUGGCUGAACCAAAAACCAAAAAUAAAAGAAAAGAAGAAAGGUAGAAGAAGAGAAGAGAAGAAGAGUGCACCGGCCUUAUGCAAUCCGAAGAGAAGAGAUGCAAGAAGCUUGUGCGGCUGGCCUUAAGUGCUUCUUAAAUAGGAUUAGAUGCUUCCCUAGGUCUUACUUACUGCCCAAGAGGUGCUUGCUACCCAAGUUGUGCUUGAAAAGGAAAGAAGCGCGUUGCAAGGCUCUCAGAAGGCAAGAGGCGCACAGAUGGGUUGUUCAGAAGGAAGGAGGCGCGCGGAUGGGUUGUGCAGAGGGAAAGAUAUGCUGUCCAGACUUUCCUUUUUAGGUGGAGCCUUCGUUUGAAUUUCAAAUCUUGAAUACUGAAUGCAAGAGAGGCAAGUGUGUCUUCUUGAAAUCUUGCUGCCUAAAUAGGAAGAUCUGACUGCUGAGGUGUCUGCACAUCUUUAAACAAGGAAAGAAAGAUCUGCUAUUUGAAUUUCAAAUAAUCUGCUGACUGCGCUUUCCUUCUCUGUUUUUGCUUCUGUACUUUCCUUAUUUGAAAACUUUCCUUAUUUGAAAACUUUCCAUAUUUGACACUUUUUGGCAGUUUUAAGAGCAUUUUCACCAGAUUGUCUCUUUACACCUAUCUUCUGUAAAAUAAGAUCAAAACCACAAAAUUAGGCAGAAAUAGUGUAAAAGAACAUCAAUAAUAUCUUGAUAAAUGGGUCUAAAUUAUACUCUAUCAGUCUUCCACCCCCAUAACUAAUUUAUUGAGUCAAAUAAAAAAACCUAAGUGUCAAUGGUCAAUCCCAAUAACUGAAAUGGAUUCAAUACUUCAACUAGAAUCUCAUCAUUAUUGAAUUUCAUUUACUUUAUUAUUUGCUUCACUUUAUUGAUUUUAAUUCUAGUUUAGUUCAUCAAACUUCAAAACCCCCCUUCUAUUUUUAUUUUCAGUUUAUUUACUUAGUCUUUGAUAGAAACAUAGGUAAGUAUCAAUUCUUUGUGGAUACGAUCCUUUUACCACUGUCUACAGUUGUGAAAUUGUAGAUAACCAACAAUGUUAUUUUUGACCGGCCUCGACAACCGAAUAGUCAUUAGAAUUGAAAAAAUACACAGAAACCCGUCAGGGCUAUAAAAGGCCAGAAAGACUGUCAGGGUUGUAAAAAGCCAAGAAGCUCGUCACGGCUGAGAAAAUGCUCAAAAACUUGUCAAUGCUAGAAAAAUACACGAAAACCCAUCAAGGCUGAAAAAUACACGAAAACCUGUCAAGGCUGAAAAAAUAGAUGAAAAUCCGUCAAGGUUAUAAAAGGCCAGGAAGACUGUCAGGGUUGUAAAAAUCCAAGGAGCUUGUUAGAGCUGAGAAAAUACUUGGAAGUUCGUCAUGGCUGGAAAAACACACAAAAGCUCAUCAGGUUUGUAAAAGGCCAGGUAGCUCGCAGGGGCUGGAAAAUGCUCGGAAGCUAUUCAAAGCUGGAAAAUGCUCGGAAGCUAUUCAAGACUGGAAAAUGCUCGGAAGCUUGUUAGGAUUAGAGAAAGCUCGGAAGCACGUCAAGACUAUAAAAUGCUCGUAAACUUAUCAAUGCAUUACUAUAUCACUCGGAUCAAUUUUUGCCAGACAAGACUUUGGACCUGACUGAUCGGUAUGGCAAGUAAGAAGAAAGUAAGGAUAUCGUGUGCUCGGCCUAAACAAACAAGUCACAUGACCCAGAUCAUGAAUACAACUGUUACCUUCGAAUCUAAAGAAUCAAAGGCCAGCAGGGGACCUUUGAUGCUAUAUGAAACUCGCUCAAAAUAGGCAGUGAGCUGUCAUUAUAAGAUAGGGUCACGUGGCAAGAAUUUGAUAAACCUAUAUGCGCGGUCCCACUCGUAGAAAAGAAGAUCCGAGCGCUUCAAGUCAGUUUUCGGACAGGUCGGACAAACAAGCCACAUGACCCAGGUCAUGAAGACAAUUGUCACCUUCGAAUCUAAAUAAUCGAAAACCAACGAGGAACCUCUGAUGCUAUAUAAAACUCGCACAAAGUAGACAAUGAGUUGUCACUAUAAGAUAGGCCCACGUGGCAAAGAUCUGAUAAAUCUAUACGCGGUCCCACCCGUAGAAAAGAAGAUCCGAGCGCUUCAAGUUGAUUUCAGGACAGGUCGGCCUCAGGUCGAACAGACUCGCCCUCUCAAUUUCAGGGCGAGUCUCCAUAAGGAAGUUACCGUUAAAUAGCUAUAAUCCAGCAGAUCCCCUUUAUGCCUACGAUCACGGGAUUCCUAACCAAUUAACCCUUGAAAAUCUCUUACUAAUGGGUCGGCCACAUUAUCGUCGGAUUAUUAGAGAACGUUAUCUUUAUCUUCAUCUUCUUACUGUAUAAAAGGAAAAUAAUCACGGAGGUAAAAGUAGGUUAUUCUCCCACACAACUACUCUUGAUUUUUAACAUUAUACUUAUCAUUCUGUUCAACUUAUUGACUUGAGCGUAGGAAUAGCUACCGUAAGCGCCAAUCACCUCAUAUUUUUUAUCUUACAGGUGGACCAAUUACAGUACAGUUCCGUUAUGCAUCAUCAAUUUUUUUUCAACAACAUCACAUAUUAUUGAAAUUAAAAAUUAUAAUACCUUUACAAUUAUUAUUAUUAUUAAAUAUAUAAAAUAUUUUUUCUAUGUGGUUCUAAUUUCAAUCUGAUUACAUUUGAUUAUCAAAAAUCAUAUUUAAAAUCAAGUAAUUAAAUAAAUUCAAUUUUUUUCUAUAAUAUGAUUGAUUUUCGAUUUUGAUAUAGUUCAAAAUGAUUCUUUAAUCCGGUUCAAAACCGUAACUGCCCUAAUAGAAACCAUUAAAGAUAAAAUCCCCUUGUCCAAUCGAAGCACAAUGUCUCGCACUUUAUCAAUUUUUUACAGCAAUCUAAUGAAUGGUAGUUAUACUCAGGCAUAUAUACAUCUGAUGAGUAUUGAUAAAUCUGAUUUUCUUCUUACUCAUCUGGUUUUCUUCUUACUCUAUUAUAUGAGUCCAUCAUAUGGGUCUCUCAAUGUUCGAUUUGAUGAAAGGAUCUGCAAAAUAAGUAAAGAUGGUCAGGGGUCUAUCGGGGAUGCCCCCGGUGGAAACCCUCUGACGUUCAAGUCAGAUUCAUGAACUAAAUGUAGAAUCCAUAGGCUAGAGUUGCAGAGAAAAAUAAAGUAAAAAUAUAGAGCCGAGGAAGAAGCCCCAAUAAGAAGGAAGACCAUCUCUCCUUUGUUUUACCUGCCCCUGACGCCUUCCCUGCUAUUGUGCUACCUUUCUAUGUCACCCAAACCCGUACGUACGGAAGUGUUAGACCCUCUCCAUGUCAGGCGGCCAUUUAAUUCCCCGGCGCACGUGUAGGCAGGGCUGCGAAGUGACUGGGCUAGCUCCUCUCCCUCACUUCACAUCAUCGGGCUGGACUUCUUCCUCCUGGGUUUGGGCUCGCGGGUAACCCAUCCGGCCCGGCGUGUUUGGGUGGAGGCCUGAGAUGCUGAGUUGGUCAGCCUAAGGAGCACUUAAUGGGCUUUGGGUCAUUGUUCUCCUCUUUGACCCGGUCUCGCCCAGAGUAGAAGAAGCCCGAUGGUCAUCAAGUAUAUAUUAAAAAUAUGGUUGAACUCAACUAAUAAUAUUAUGGUUUUUCUAAAAAAAAAAUAUUAUGAAAAAUUUAUAACUUAAUUUCUACAGAAAUUUAUUAAUUAAUUUUUUAAAUUUAAAAAAUAUAUUAAAGUAUUAUAAAUAUUUUAAUUUAUUUAUUAAUCACUUAAUUUUAUAAAAAAUUUAUUAAUUAAUUUUUUAUUAUCGAGAAUAUUUUAAUUUUUUUAUAAUAUCUAAUAAUAAAAAUUUAUAAAUAAAUUAAUUAAUAAAUUUUUUAAAAUAUCAAAAAUAUUUUAAUAUAUUUUUUAAAAUUAACUUAUUAACUAAUAAAUUUUUUCAUAAUACCUAAAUAGUAUUUUUUAAAAUAUUAUUUAUUUUUUUUUUUUUAAGGAAAAGUCUCUCACUAAUUGGAAAUUACGAUUUUUUAAGAAAAAUCUCCACUGAUUGAAAAUUACAAUUUAAUUACGAUUUUAAGAAAAGCCUCCACUGAUUGGAAAUUAUAUAUAUAUAUAUAUUUUUGUCCACAUUGGAUGUAAGUAUACUUAAUCAAUAAGAAAUUGCUAUAUACAUAAAUACCCAACUUUUCUCUUCAUUUCUUUUUCUUUUUCUUUGUAUAUUUUCAAUUUCUGUUCUUUUGUGAACACCUUUAAUAAGGAGCUGGCUUCCCUUUUUUAAAUGUGUUAAAAAGAAUUUAUAAUUUGAUCUGUAAAUUUUAUAAUUAACAAUUUAAUUUUUAUAUUUGAAAAUUAAAUUAUUUAGUUCUUUAAUUUUAAUUCGAUCACACACUUACAUUCUUCCAUUUUAGUAUUAGUAUUUAAGAAAAAUUUAUAUAUAGUCUCUAUAUAUUAUAAUUAUAUUAAUAAUUUUAUUCUGUAAUUUUGUAAUUAUUCAUUAAUUUUAUGUUUUUUAAAGAGAGAUACAAAGAGAGAGAGGGGCAAGAGAUGAAGAAAUGAAUAUAAGAUAUUAAAUUGUAACUAAUUAUAAAAUUGAAAGAUGAAACUAUAAAUAAUUAUAAUAUUCAAGGAUUAAAGAGUAAUUUAAUUUUAAAAUUAAUAAAAAAAAUAGACAAAAGGACGUAAAUAUAUUAAUAAAAGCAAAAUCAAGAGAUUAAAUAUUUUUAAUUUUUAAAAUAUAGGGAUCAAAUAUAAAAUUGGAGAAUGAAACUGUAAAUAAUUAUAAUAUUCAAGAAUUAAAAAGUAAUUUAAUUUUAAAAUUAACUGAAACAUAGAUGUAUUAAUGAAAAUAAAAUUAAGAGAUUAAAUAAUUUUAAUUUAUUUAAAAUAUAUACAUAUUAAAUAAAUAAAUAAACAAAAAGCAAGGAAGCAAUUGAAACCCACUUAAGCAAUGAUGAAUAUAUAAAUGAUAAUAAUAAUAAGCAAGAAAUGAAAGUAGGUAAAGUGGUUGCAAAGUUACUUGUAAAUGCGGUAUAUGCUACGCAGAGUAGAGUGUGGAAGAGAAGUGGGAAAUAGAAGCUAUGGGCUAUGGAUUUUGUCAAAGCAAAAGAAAUGAGAAUUGACAGAAAAAGAUUGGUGGUGGUCUCAAAGUGCGCACUAAAAUGAAAUCCGCACAAAAUCACCACAUUUUUGCUUCUCAAAUCCAAAUACAAAACACAACAAUACAAGAAACCGUGCUCUUAGUGGACCCAUCCACGCCCCACUCAUCAUUUCCAUCAAGAACUCUCUCUCUCUCUNNNNNNNNNNNNNNNNNNNNNNNNNNNNNNNNNNNNNNNNNNNNNNNNNNNNNNNNNNNNNNNNNNNNNNNNNNNNNNNNNNNNNNNNNNNNNNNNNNNNNNNNNNNNNNNNNNNNNNNNNNNNNNNNNNNNNNNNNNNNNNNNNNNNNNNNNNNNNNNNNNNNNNNNNNNNNNNNNNNNNNNNNNNNNNNNNNNNNNNNNNNNNNNNNNNNNNNNNNNNNNNNNNNNNNNNNNNNNNNNNNNNNNNNNNNNNNNNNNNNNNNNNNNNNNNNNNNNNNNNNNNNNNNNNNNNNNNNNNNNNNNNNNNNNNNNNNNNNNNNNNNNNNNNNNNNNNNNNNNNNNNNNNNNNNNNNNNNNNNNNNNNNNNNNNNNNNNNNNNNNNNNNNNNNNNNNNNNNNNNNNNNNNNNNNNNNNNNNNNNNNNNNNNNNNNNNNNNNNNNNNNNNNNNNNNNNNNNNNNNNNNNNNNNNNNNNNNNNNNNNNNNNNNNNNNNNNNNNNNNNNNNNNNNNNNNNAGAAGAGAGUUGAAGGGAAUGUAACUUUUUUUCUUUUCUCUUCCCAGCCUUUAGCUUAUUCUCACCAAUGAAGGUGAUAUACUUUUUAUUUUCCUUCUUAUGUGAAAAGUGGAAAAUUACUGUGGUGGGGUUGGUACUUAUCUCAAACUAUUAUAUUAUUUGUAGUAAUAUGGGAGAACAUAUCCACUGUUUCAAUACUAAUUAAAAAGAAAAAGUUUUUAAAUUGUUAUUUUAUUAAACAUUCUUUAUCUUUGGUUUUCUUUUCUUGCUAUAGAAAUUAGUUACUAUAUCUUUUAUUCUGUGUUUCCUCAGUGUCUUUCAAGGUUCCAUUCUAGUUUUUUUCUACCUUAUUGAUAAUUUAGUUUGCACUGUGAUUCUUCUCUCUCAACUGAUGAAGAAAGGAAAACAUGUGGAGUAAAUUAAUUGACUCAAUUUUACAGCUGCUUAUCAACUUUUCGAUUUAAAUUAUAGUUCAGAGUGCUGAACAUGGUUCUUCCUGAUAAUCUUCUUUUACAUAAAAGUAGUUUGAAAGAGUAUUAUUUGAUUACAAUUUCAGAAUUUUUUAAUUUUCAAUAGAAAUAUUGCAGUGGACUUAUUUAUUUCAUUGGUCUUAAAGGAGUGUAUAAAUAAGGAUUGCUUCUUCCUUCAUGUGAUACAAAAUGAUGGUAUAUUUGACAUUAUGUUUUCUCAUCUUUCCAUUUUAGAGUCUCCAAAAGACCAAACCCCUUCAGGGAAACCAAUAAAGGAUAUUAGGAAGCUACCAUCAAAUCCUGAGGAAGUAGAAGACCUACGUCGCAAUUCAGCUGCAAAUCCAUUGAUUGCCUUUACAUAUGAUGAGCUAAAGGUAAUCACCGAAAACUUUAGGCAAGAUCGCCUGUUGGGUGGAGGAGGAUUUGGAAGUGUUUAUGAGGGAUUUAUUAAUGAGGAUCUAAGAGAAGGACUUCAGCCACUUCCAGUUGCUGUGAAGGUUCAUGAUGGUGAUAAUAGUCAUCAAGGCCACCGAGAAUGGCUGGUAAUCUAUGUGUUCUUUUCUUGCCCCUGCUAUAUAUAAUGUUAUUCAUUUUGACAGCCAUUGUUGUUCAUUUUCUUUCUGUUAUGUCUUGGUAUUCUUGAUAAGAUUGAUUGAGAGUUUUGAGAAUUUUCAGGCAGAAGUCAUAUUUCUGGGGCAGCUUUCUCAUCCAAAUUUGGUGAAAUUGAUUGGAUACUGCUGUGAAGACAAACAUCGGGUAUUAAUAUAUGAGUAUAUGGCUCGGGGCAGCGUGGAAAACAAUCUAUUUUCAAGUAAGUAUCUUAUAAGUUCUCUGUAAAAUAUUAAAACCCUAUUGUGAUCUUCUUGUUUUUUUUCAACGGUUUAGCUUUUGAAAUUAAAAAACAAAAUACAAUAGCGGAAGCAAGAUAUAAUAGUAGGAAAAGUUCGCGGGUAGAUGCUGUAGAAAGUAUGGUAUUCUUUUACUAGCUUGCAAAUUGAAUGGCAGUUCAGCUCUAUUUAUAAAUGAAAAGGUCGCUAAGGAAAUAAUGCCUCAUGAUCUCCCCAACUUGCUUGCUUCUCAAAUUGUGGUACCUGCACCUCAAGUGCAAGAAAACAAGAUAAUGCACUAACAAAAAACCAUGUCAUUAGCUAUCUAACAAUUAUGGCAUCACAUAUUGACUGUGCGGUUGUCGAAACCGGUCAAAAAUAAUAUUUUUUGUUAUCCACAAUUUUACAGAUGUAGAUAGUGGCAAAAUGAUCGAAUGCACAGGAAAUUGAUACUCACCUAUUUUCCUUAUCAAAACCAAGUAAUUAAAUUGAAAAUAAAAUAAAAAGGGGAUUUUGGAAUUGAUGAACUAAACUAGAAUUCAAAACAAUAAAGUAAAGCAAAUAAUAAAGUAAAAAAAUUCAAUAAUGAGAAAGGCCUAAUUGAAGUUUCGGAUCCACUUCAGUUGUUGGGAUUGAUCAUUGACACUUAAGUUCUUUUAUUUGACUCAAUAAAUUAUUUAUGGGGUGAAAGACGUUUCUCACCACCAUAUCCCUCCUUAAUCAUAGAUUAACUAGGGAACGUCAUCUAAUUAAUCACUAAUCAACAAGUUGACAAGGAACGUCUUUGGGGCUUUUAGCAUCUAACAACUGUUAAUUGCAUUAAGAGAUAGAGAGACAUAAUUCUAGUUACCCAAACGUAUGGUGAUCUUGCUAGAUUAUGCAAUUUUCUUGGUUUUUACACCAAGUGUUCUUGUGUUUGAAUAAUUCAAGCAAUUACGGACUUAAACCACUCAAACUAACAAAUUAUCAUUUUGUAAUCAAGAAUCAAUGGGCCCUAUUGAUCUAAACUACAAAGCAACAAUAGAAUUAAGCAUGAAAUUACAUAAAUAUUGAUAAAUAAAAGAUAAACAACAUGUGUUCAGAUCUCACAAUCCAUAAACAAACUGAAAUUUCACUUAAUCUUUAACUAGAAAAAGGGGGUUUCAGCCACUCAUGGCUGAAACUAAUAUAAAAAUAAAAGAAAGAAAACCAGAAAGAUGGAGAGGAAGGAGCCGAUCGGCCGGCUGGUGUGGCGUGCGGCUGCAGGUGCAAUCUCCCCAAAGAUUGAAGCUCGUUUGUUGCUAGUUUGAUCCUCUUUUUAUAGCUGAAUAGGCUGCCCUAAGUUUCUUGAUUUGGAUGGAGUUCUUUUCCUAUUUAGAGUUGGAUUUUCUUGAAGGCAAUUGAAUCUUCUUGAGAUUUGACUUCCUAAAUAGGUGGGAUAGAGUGCUAAGUUGUCUUCACAUGUUUUGGGAGGGAAAGACUUUUUCGAAAGUUUAAAAUUUGAAUUUCUCGCAUCUCUGCUUCAGCUUUGUUUGGGCAAACGGUCUUGGCCAAACCAGGCUUGAUCUCAUUUGUUCUUUUUUUGGGCAGUUUUAAGGCCAUUUUUACCAAAUUACCCUUUUACACUAUUUUCUGCAAAAUAAGAUCAAAACCACAAAAUUAGGUAGAAAAUGUGUAAAUUAAUAUUAAUAACAACAUAAAAAAUGGGUCUAAAUUUGGCUUGAUCAAAUACCCCCACACCUAGCCCUUUGCUUGUCUUCAAGCAAAUAAACUUAGUCAAACAAGUUCUCUUUGCUACUUGAUCCUUUAUUUCCACUUAAGCUCUUACCCUAGACCCCUACUUUGAAGCAUUGUAGUGAAGUGUGUAUGCACUAAGGUUACUUUCCUUCUUUCCUUGUUUCCCUUUACCUACCAUGGUUAUUAAUUGUUUUCCUCAAUAGAGAGAUUUAGUUAUACAUGCACACGUUCUUUGUUUAUUUUAGACUCUUUCUAGCUCUCGAAGUGAUUUGCCUUUACUUGAAGCACUUUAUUCAGCUUUUUGCACUUUUAUCCUUGUCUGAAAAAGUCACCAACCAUUUGACGCAAAGGUACAUAUUUGUGAUACCCACCCCCGUUUACUCAGUUGGUCACCUGUCCAAGUGGCUACUAGCUCUGUUCAUAGUCUUUGACCAUUGGAACAGUUUUUAUUUUGUGCUUUUGAGGUCUUUGCCUUUGCUGAAUUUUCUUUUUCUCAAUGAUUUGGGCAAAUCAACACCAAUUGGUAAAAUAAGUCAUGUUUGUUUCCCACAUCUUUCAUUUUAUUAUUCUCUUUAAUGAGUAAUAAAAUUUAUUUUUCACCAUAGCAAGCUCAAAGAUUCAAUAUAAAAAAAAAAUCCCAAAAAUGAAUACAACUCACUGCAAUUGAUUCAACUUAGGUUUAAAGAGUUAUCACAUCAAUGGGGUCAUGGAAAGAAAGCUCAUUCAAUAUAGCCUAUGUGUUUGAGUAAAGCAUACCAAAACAGAAAAAAGAAAAAAACUGUGGCUACAUGUGUGUGAAGACUGUGGCUGUGUGAAAGCAAAAAUAAAAAAAUUUCACCUAAUGUAUGCUAAUUAAAAAUUAAAACUUAAAUGGAUAUAAAAGAAAUAAAAAAGAAUGCAUGAAGCAUCAAAAUUCAGAGAUAUGCACCCCCACACCUAAUUCAUGCAUUGUCCUCAAUGCAAUGGAGAUAUUAAAGCUUAAGAGAAACUGAGUACUCCUCUGGUGUGGUUGUUUGGGCAGCUGUUUAGGUAAACAACUGGCCAAACUAGGUGUCUCGGUGUGCAGAUGGCAGUGUGUGUUGCACCUGCAGCUGCAGCAUGUCUUCCAUUGGGCAAGUUGCCUCCGCUGGGUUGCCUCCCAGUAGCGCCCUAGUUUAAAGUCACGGGCUGGACCUUCUCGACUUGAUCAAGGCUCAAGUAAUUGGAGGAGGGAAAAGGGUCCCAACUGAAUUAAGUAAAAAGUGCAGCAUGCCUUUUGUUUUGGUCAUAACCCAUCCUAUUUCUUUCAUGUACUCAUAAAGUAAUAUGAUUAGUUUCUCCUCUUUCAAGUGAGGUGUGCCUCUAGCCUUUAUGUUUGCAUUUUUGAGAUGAUUGGGUAGCACUUCGAACUCCAAUUCAUAUUUCUCCAUAGGUG